CGAUGAAGCCCUUCGGGGUGGAUUAGUGGCGAACGGGUGAGUAACACGUGGGCAAUCUGCCCUGCACUCUGGGACAAGCCCUGGAAACGGGGUCUAAUACCGGAUACGACACUCUCGGGCAUCCGAUGAGUGUGGAAAGCUCCGGCGGUGCAGGAUGAGCCCGCGGCCUAUCAGCUUGUUGGUGAGGUAACGGCUCACCAAGGCGACGACGGGUAGCCGGCCUGAGAGGGCGACCGGCCACACUGGGACUGAGACACGGCCCAGACUCCUACGGGAGGCAGCAGUGGGGAAUAUUGCACAAUGGGCGCAAGCCUGAUGCAGCGACGCCGCGUGAGGGAUGACGGCCUUCGGGUUGUAAACCUCUUUCAGCAGGGAAGAAGCGAAAGUGACGGUACCUGCAGAAGAAGCGCCGGCUAACUACGUGCCAGCAGCCGCGGUAAUACGUAGGGCGCGAGCGUUGUCCGGAAUUAUUGGGCGUAAAGAGCUCGUAGGCGGCUUGUCGCGUCGGUUGUGAAAGCCCGGGGCUUAACCCCGGGUCUGCAGUCGAUACGGGCAGGCUAGAGUUCGGUAGGGGAGAUCGGAAUUCCUGGUGUAGCGGUGAAAUGCGCAGAUAUCAGGAGGAACACCGGUGGCGAAGGCGGAUCUCUGGGCCGAUACUGACGCUGAGGAGCGAAAGCGUGGGGAGCGAACAGGAUUAGAUACCCUGGUAGUCCACGCCGUAAACGGUGGGCACUAGGUGUGGGCAACAUUCCACGUUGUCCGUGCCGCAGCUAACGCAUUAAGUGCCCCGCCUGGGGAGUAC
rnacentral:rRNA from 1 species